rnacentral:rRNA from 1 species
UGGUUAGCGGCGGACGGGUGAGUAACACGUGGGCAACCUGCCUGUAAGACUGGGAUAACACCGGGAAACCGGUGCUAAUACCGGAUAAUCCUUUUCCUCUCAUGAGGAAAAGCUGAAAGUCGGUUUCGGCUGWCACUUACAGAUGGGCCCGCGGCGCAUUAGCUAGUUGGUGAGGUAACGGCUCACCAAGGCGACGAUGCGUAGCCGACCUGAGAGGGUGAUCGGCCACACUGGGACUGAGACACGGCCCAGACUCCUACGGGAGGCAGCAGUAGGGAAUCUUCCACAAUGGACGAAAGUCUGAUGGAGCAACGCCGCGUGAGCGAUGAAGGCCUUCGGGUCGUAAAGCUCUGUUGUUAGGGAAGAACAAGUACCGGAGUAACUGCCGGUACCUUGA